rnacentral:lncRNA from 1 species
GGCACUUGCAACUUUAUUGCGCCAGCAAGAACAUGCAUACAGCCCAGUCUAACGUACAGGAUCAAAAAGAGACCUUAUUUCGGCUGGCAAUUACCUUACCCGCUUGUUCAUUAUCUGACUCCUGCACUCCUCCCAAGUGUUCAAUGUUAACCAGAUGGCAAAGUUAACCAGACAGAGGAAAUCCACAUAAUUACUCUAGAUGAAGCCCCCUAACUGCGGAUUAGAAGGAAAAGAGAUGAAGGGUGCUGCACUAAUAAUAACAACCAUUUUCAACCAAGGCAGGAUUCUGGGCCUAGAAUCUUCAGUGACAAAUUACCAGGAGAGGAGGAGGGAAAUGAAGAGCUGGAGGCCUAGGGAGAUGGUGUGAGGAGAGGAGACUGUGCCUUUCCACUUCUUAAUAAUUAAUGUUCUCCUGCUGCUCUGAGUCUGCAUCACCAGUGAUUCAGUUUGAGUCAGACAUCCAACAACAACUGAGCAAAAGAAUCAUCUCAGAUCCAAGCAAUGGUGACGCGCAGAUAGAAGAGACUGAGGCCAACGACCAAAGCAAAGGACAGCAGAACUGACUGACACAGCUCAGAAAAUAUCCAAAGCUCUGUAUGCUCUGGAAAGGAAGACAAGAAAUGCUAAAGACUCUGGAUAUUGCUCUGUUUCUAUAAGGUCCCACCCAUAUACCAUCUCUUCUUUUGGAUUUCCUUUGGCAGUAACCUGAAGUUAUAUAAGUGGCAUGUUCCCAAGUACAAAGGGAGCCCUUCUAUUGCUUCUGCUUACAAAGAGGUGUCAACCUAAGAAAAAGCCAGAACAAGCCAAAGUUCAGGGAAGUAUCACUGCUGACUAAUAUGUUCAGCAGUCACUGAGUUGAGAUGAGGAGUGCUACUUUGGAACUUCCCUGCAUUCCAAAGUUCACUAAUGCAAUCCACUUUAACAUCUUUCUCUUUGUUAUUCAGGGUUCCCUUGUAUGGAAGUUCUCAGGAGAACAACACUCUCAGAGUCCCACUGUCUCAAAGAAUUCUUAAUGGACAGGUAUUUUUAAAGAAGUCAGGGUUAUCCACAGCUAUGUACAUAUAAUACCAAAUCAGAUCAUUUAUUCUGUACCUGAGGCAAAAAAGCUUCUGAUUCCUGAAUGGAUUUCUUCACUGGUUCUUCUGGGGGAUGAGAGAGAGAAACCAUUUACAAAGCUGAAGGAGAGCUAAGUCCACCCCUACACUGGCUGAGUUUCUUUGUAUAACAACUGUUCUCCCUUCCUAUUUUCUUCAAUUAUCUCUUCUUUCCCCAGCUAUACUUGGCCCCAAGGUUUCAACCUCACACUGAAGAAAGUGACAUAAGAAAACACAAGUCCCAGUGCUAUCAGGGGCUAUCUGGAAAAGCUGCUUAAACAGCAAGUGAAAGAAGGCUCUCCCCUACCCCGUUCUAGACUCACCCUGAAGUUAUUUGAAGGAUCCUUGAGACUCUUUUGGAUUGCUGCUUGGAGAACAUUCCUGUAACUUGUCCCUGCUCCUUGAACUAUAAAAGCAGAAGGGAGGUACUGAGUUAAAACUUACAAAUUAUUAUCAAAUAAAUCUUCAAUAGUGGUUCAGUCCAA